GGCCUCGUGGGUUAGCACAGUUGGGUAGAGCAUGGUGCUGAUAAUGCCAAGGUCACAGGUUUGAUCCCUGUAUGGGUCU
rnacentral:tRNA from 1 species